rnacentral:rRNA from 1 species
UUAACUGAGAGUUUGAUCCUGGCUCAGGAUAAACGCUGGCGGCGUGCCUAAUACAUGCAAGUCGUACGGAAACACUUCGGGUGUCGAGUGGCGGACGGGUGAGUAAUACGCAGGAAUGUACCCCAAAGUGAGGGAUAACUAUCUGAAAAGAUAGCUAAUACCGCAUGUGAUCUUUGGAUUAAAGCUUUUUAUGAAGCGCUUUGGGAAUAGCCUGUGGCGGAUUAGCUAGUUGGUAAGGUAAAGGCUUACCAAGGCGAUGAUCCGUAGCUGGUUUGAGAGGAUGAUCAGCCACACUGGGACUGAGACACGGCCCAGACUCCUACGGGAGGCAGCAGUG